rnacentral:lncRNA from 1 species
CCCAUUCAUGGUACACCGGCUCAGUGAAAAUAAAAGCUUCAAAAAGACAUAACAACAUUGGGAAGAAGCCAUUAAAACAAAGUUUCAAAAACAAUUUCAGUAAAAAAACACAAAGCUUUACAAACAAACUUUUAGAUUUUGGGAAGUGCAUCAGAGAGAUUCCCAUUUAGACAAUAGUCAUCAUUCUACUUCUCGCUAAGGAGAAUCUGAUGUCCCUGUCUUUUUAGAAUUUCCGAGGAAAUUUCGAGGAAACACAAAAUUGGGUUUCCUCAGAAUUUCCUCGGAAUAUACCAUAAUCUAUGUAAACAAGAAUACUAGCCUCUAAUGCAACACUAAGCUAACGCAGAGGAAAACAUCUUACAAUCCAGAGAAAAACAGAUUAAUAAAUUCAAUACAAAUUAAGUAUGAAAAGAGAUCAAAUUGGCUAAACAGCGACUAACCGGAGAGGUGAAGAACAAAACCAUAAACAAACUGGAUCGUCUUUGAAUCGUUUUUAUGGAUGAAACAAACCAGAAUCGUCUUUGAAUCCAGACAGAGAAGAUGGAGUGAUCGCGAUUGGAUCGCCGAGAAAGAUCGAGACAGAAUCGAGAGAGAAAGUCGAUUGAUCGAGAUUGGAGGAGGAAGAGAGAAAGUCGAGGAGGAGAACAAACUGAUUUCGACAAAAGACCCCGACGAAAGAGAGAGAGAGAAAUGGGAGAUCCAUUAAGAUAAUGACACGUAAGGGCUCUUACCAAUCCUAAAAAUCCCACAUUUAACACCGGUUCUC